AUCCUCUAUUCCUUGGCCCAAUCACAAUUUUAGAAUAGAAUGGCCCAUAUUCAUAAUUUGCUCAUUGGCCCAACUUACCAAUUUAAUUGGGGCCCAAAACCAUUAAUUAAAUUGGAGCCAACCCCCUUCCAUCGUUAUCUCUCUCCUCUCACAUUUCUAUCUCCCAAUUCCAAAUUUGGGACUCUCAAAAUCGAUCGAGCACAGCGGCAGUUCCUCCUCCGCCUCGGCACGUCGCCAACUCCGGCGAGAAUCAUUCACCGCCGUCCACGCCGCUCGCUGCAUGUCUCGCCGUUCGCCGCUCACUCCCUCCGUCGAACGCCCUCCUCCGGAGAGUGCUCCCCUCUCGGCGGAGUCACAAUUUGAGGGGAAAGGCGUCGCCUUUCCCUUCGUCUCCCUCUCCGCCGCGCGUGGACAGCCGGUCCUUGUAGCGAUACUCGGGGUUCCGUCGGUGCCCGCUCUUCUCCGGACAGCCGUGGGUCUCGGCCUAAGCUAAGUCCUCUCCCCCCUUUCCCCCAUUGUUUCACCGUUAUUGAGUUAUGGCAGCGGCUAUGUGUAAUUUAUCAAUUGAUCAAAUGAAAGCUAUUUGACUUGUGGGGUUGAUUGUGAGGGCUCGGGAGGGAGCUUGAUGUCUCAACUUGUGGUUCACUGCUUGUCCGAAAUAUUGGCAUCCGGUUGUUAUGUUGUGAUUUUCUAGUUCUUCCGUUACCACCGUUGAUGAGGCUCCACCUAUGGUGAUUGCUUUUGUUACUGUGGUGUAUCCUAUUGAGUUUCUAUGUUCUUGGCUAUGUGUUGUGGUUGAUCUACAUGAUGCAAUACAUAUAUGGUGUUGAGGUGAUUACCUCGCUUGGGAUUCCUCUCGGUAUGGGCUGAUCCUUGCUUCAAGGUUUUCCCCUUGCUCCUCCUCCACUCCUUGCUGCACUCCUUGAGUUUGAGUGAAUUAUGGUGUCGAAUGGUGGGAGAGGAGAAGGGAGUUGAGGGCUGUUUAUAUACGUGCCUUGAGCCUUGUCAUUUUGCCUGAAAUCCUUGGAAAGUGGUAUGCUAUUUCGGGUUAAAACUCAGCUUGCUUUUGAGCUUUGUGAUAUUGUGGUUCACUCCAAAAUGGUAUAAGUUCUGGGGCUGCUCCCUUGGCAACUUCCUUACUUCCUCGGCUCUUAUGGAGGGACAAAGCAGUUUCUCUAUUUGUGCUUGUUGCUGAGAUCAUGAGACUUUUGUUCAAAAUGGUUCUAUUUCCAUUUUGUAAGAUCCUUGGCAGCCCCAAAUCGUCCCUAUGGGCAGCCUGUGUGUUGCUUACUCCAAGACCUUGCCCUCUUUUAUCAUGUCUCAUUCUCUCAUGCUUUAUUGUUCUUUGACCUCAUUCUAUUUUUUUGUGUAAUCUCUUUCGCAGGGGUGGCUGUCCAAGGGUGUCUUGGUUGGCGGUUUGGAGUCUUGUGGUUGUGGAAACGAGGAAGAAGAAAGGAGAAAGAGAAAGGAACGAAAUUCCGGGGCGUCACAUAUAGCCUCAGAUCUUCAAUAACAGCAGAUCUGAGCAAGGAAGUGGAAGAGGAUUUGGAGGAAGAUUUCAUAGGGGAGGCAGAGGUGGAAGAGGCCUUGGCAGAGGAAGCAACAAGAUCAUUUGUCAAUUGUGUGAAAAGCCUGGACAUUCUGCAGCAAAAUGUUGGCAUCGAUUUGAGCAGAAUUAUACUCCACCUCAAGUGCAAUUCAGAGGAAGCUCAGCACACCAACAGAAUCAAGGAUCUUUCAAUCCCUCAGCACAUCUGGUUUAAUUAGUGCCCAGAUCUCCAUCGGGUUCAUUCUCUGUUGGGACUCCCUCUGAAUUUAGCUAUGCCUCAAAUGCUUCUUCAAGCCGGUAUCCUGACUCAGGAGCAACACAUCAUGUUUCUAAUGAUUUGAGCAACCUCAACUUGAGCAAUGAGUAUACUGGAGGACCUGAGCACCAAGGAAGUUGUCCUCAAAGGAACGCUUGAAAGAGGCCUAUAUCAUUUCUUAGUAGAUCACUCUCCAAUCAAGCGAGGCAAAGUCCCCAUUUCCUAUUCCAGUUCAGACAUUCCAGCUGUUCACUCCUUGAGUUUGUCCAACUCUUCUUCCAGCAGCAGUUCUGAUCAUGUUUCUAGCUUAGAUUUGUCUCGAUGGCAUAAUAGACUAGGACAUCCUACUUUAGAUAUUGUCAAACUUGCUCUCAACAGAUGUAAUAUCCCUUUUAAUGCAAUGAAAGCUUCUGCACUUUGUUA